rnacentral:rRNA from 1 species
UAGGGAAUCUUCCGCAAUGGGCGAAAGCCUGACGGAGCAACGCCGCGUGAGUGAUGAAGGUCUUCGGAUCGUAAAACUCUGUUAUUAGGGAAGAACAAAUGUGUAAGUAACUAUGCACGUCUUGACGGUACCUAAUCAGAAAGCCACGGCUAACUACGUGCCAGCAGCCGCGGUAAUACGUAGGUGGCAAGCGUUAUCCGGAAUUAUUGGGCGUAAAGCGCGCGUAGGCGGUUUUUUAAGUCUGAUGUGAAAGCCCACGGCUCAACCGUGGAGGGUCAUUGGAAACUGGAAAACUUGAGUGCAGAAGAGGAAAGUGGAAUUCCAUGUGUAGCGGUGAAAUGCGCAGAGAUAUGGGGAAACACCAGUGGCGAAGGCGACUUUCUGGUCUGUAACUGACGCUGAUGUGCGAAAGCGUGGGGAUCAAACAGG